GGUGGGGUUCCCGAGCGGCCAAAGGGACCAGACUGUAAAUCUGGCGGCUUCGCCUUCGAAGGUUCGAAUCCUUCCCCCACCA
rnacentral:tRNA from 1 species